CCAGCCCUUGACAUCCCCUUGAACAUGCCGUAGCGGGCAUGGCCUUUUAGGCAGGGGAGACAGGUGGUGCAUGGUUGUCGUCAGCUCGUGUCGUGAGAUGUUGGGUUAAGUCCCGCAACGAGCGCAACCCCUGCCCCCAGUAGCCAGCGGCGAGGCCGGGCAGUGGGGGGGGACCGCCGGGGACAACCCGGAGGAAGGCGGGGACGACGUCAAAUCAUCAUGCCCCUUAUGGGCUGGGCUACACACGUGCUACAAUGGCGCCGACAAAGGGAGGCGAAGCGGCGACGCGGAGCAAACCCCAGAAACGGCGCCCCAGUUCGGAUUGCAGCCUGCAACUCGGCUGCAUGAAGCCGGAAUCGCUAGUAAUCGCGGAUCAGGAUGCCGCGGUGAAUACGUUCCCGGGUCUUGUACACACCGCCCGUCACACCAUGGGAGCCAGGAAUGCCCGAAGUCUGUGGCCGAACCCCUCAGGGGGGCGGGGCAGCCGAAGGCAGGCCGGGUGACUGGGGUGAAGUCGUAACAAGGUAGCCGU
rnacentral:rRNA from 1 species